AAAAAAAAAAAAAAGAAGAAGGGAAGGACAGGAACUGCAUAACUGCAUUUACGUACUCACUGGGUACCAGACGUAUAGAAAAUUUCACUCUAUCACAUAUAAUUACAGCACCUCUAAGAGGCAGGUGUGAUUAUCUCCAUUUUAUAGUUAAGAAAACUGAGGCUGAGUAAUGUUAAAUUAAUACAUAGUAGAAAUGGAAUUCUUGGUAUAUCUGAUUCAAAACCCAUGCCUUUUCUGCUACGCUAAGCUACAAUCAACUUAGAUAGGACUUCGAUGGAGGAUUACACAUCCCUUCUGCAUUAGCUCUUUAUUGCUGUGUAACAAAUUAACCCCAAAUUUGGCAGCUUACAGCAGAACAUUUUCUAACAGUUUCUGUGGAUCAGGGGUUCAGGUAUGUCUUGUUGAGUACUGUGCCUCAGGGUUUCCCACAGAGCUGUAGUCAACAUGUCUGAAAUAAAAUUUGCAAGGAAGAAAAUAUUUAAAAGCAAGAACAAUAUAAAUCAUAUUUAAUGGUAAAAUGUUAAAUGUUUUUCCUUGCAGAUUAAGAAACAGAUAAAGAUGUCUCUUACCACCACUGAAUAUUGUGGUAGAGAUCCUAGUCAAUACAGAGAAACAAGAAAAAUAAAUUAUGAGGAUUGGAAAAGGAAGAAAUUCAACAGUCUUUAUUCACAGCUGUGAUUGCUUGCCUCUGCAGUCUCUGCAGGAGUCAGAGGAUGGAGCUGCAGAGCCUCUAAGGCCAGAAUUAGGCCCAACAGGGGAGGAUGCAGACAGGCACAUCAAGACCCCAUACAAAGGAAAACGUCCUAAGGGCCACAGGAAUAGGCUGCUUUAACGGGAUACUGAGCGCCCUGUCACCACUGGAGUUCACACAAAGGCUGGAGAACGACCUGACCGAAGCAGCGGACGAAUCCUCGCCCUGGGUGACAGGUGAGAAGUCUAUGGUCAAGGCGCCUGAACUCUGGGCAAGGACCUUCUUGCCGCAUCAUCCCAUGGCAGAAGGCAGAAAGGUAAGAGAGAGAGAAAGGGGUGAGGCGACUGAACUCAUCCUUUUACAAGGGACCCACUUUUGCAAAAACUAACCCACAACCCACUCCUUCAAUAACAGCAUUAAGCCACUCGUGAGGGCAGAGCCAUCAUGACCUAAUCACCUCUCCAAGGUCCCACCUCCCAGCACUGUUGCCUUGGGGAUUGCAUUUCCAAUACACAGACUUUGAGGGACACAUUCAAACCAUAGCAGUUGCCCCAGAUCUUGCCAGGCUGGAAUUUAUUUCUGGCCUCCUGUCUAGUAAAGACCAAUGUAGUUUCCUGUGAUUGGAUUGCGGCUAGGGGACCUGGGUUUCAGUUUAGACAUUUCCAUGAACUUGCUGCAUUCCCUGUAGGGACUCAUUUCCCAUCUGCGGGCUCAUUUCCAUGAAGUUGCUGCAUUCCCUGUGGGGACUCACUUCCCAUCUGUGGGCUCAGGACAGUCAGGUGUGAAGCAAAGGCAACACAUCAGUGAGCCCUCCCUCACUGCUGACCCAUCCCCUUGCUUCCUUGACUUUUCUUUGCUCUGUAUCUCAAGUGAGCGCUGGACCUGCCUCAGGCACCACUGCGAUGCAGAGGCUUGGAGGGUUUUUUGGGUUCAGUUACAGUUUCUGAGCCUCUUGGCUCUGGUCACUUUUUCAGUGGAACACUUCUUCUUCCUUUUAUUUUUUAAGAGAAAGGGGCUAGGCAUGGUGGCUGACACCUGUAAUCCCAGCACUUUGGGAGGCCAAAGCGGGUGGAUCACCUGAGGUCAGGAGUUCGAGACUAGCCUGGCCAACGCAAUGAAACCCUGUCUCUACUAAAAAUAAAAAAAAAUAAAAAAAAAAUUAGCUGGACAUGUUGGCAGCCACCUGUAAUUCCAGCUACUCAGGAGGCUGAGGCAGGAGAAUCAUUUGAACCUGGGAGGUGGAGGUUGCAGUGAGCUGAGAUCAUGCCACUGCACUCCAGCCUGGGUGACAAAGUGAGACUUUGUCUCAGAAAGAAAAGAAAAAGAGAAAGUUUCUCAUUCUCUGUCACCCAGGCUUCAGUGCAAUGGCCCAAUCUCGGCUCACUGCAGCCUCAAAGUCCUGGGCUCAAGCCAUCCUCCCACCUCAGCCUCCCAAGGUGCUGGGAUUACAGGCAUGAACCUCUGGGCAAAGCUUUGUCAUUCUUCAUACUUUUCGAACAAGGAGCCCUGCAUUUUCAUCUGCACCGGGUCCUGCAGAUUAUUACGUAGUGGGUCCUGGUGUGGAUUCGUGUGCCUGGGUUCCGUGCCCAUUCGUUGAGCUGGGGUACGGGGAUCAUCAGCUACACCCAGACCACACGGACCCAGAAGCGGGGGGCAGGGUUGCUAAAGAAAAACUGAAGAGCGUUACCAGAAGCAAGAAUGGUUGUGGCGUCGGCAAAAUUGAAUACACGUGCGUAUCGACACCGAUGUGGGAUACGUUCUGAGUAGUUGAGGGAAGACCCAAAAUCAUGCCGUCGGAGCUCUUCCUGGAACCGCACCGCGGCAUGUGUGGCUCCAUGGAGGGCGUGACGCACCGUGCAGCAAUACUCGCAGCGUGGAGAGUUCCAGUCCCGAAAUGGCAGCGUCAGGCAAGCUGCUUCCAAUACCCCUCCCUCCGACAACCAGAAACAAAUACCCAGCGCCCAGAUCCACACCAGCAGCAACCCAGAGCUCCAGUCUGAGGAUGAGACUGUUCCAGGGCCACAGAAAAGAGGAAAACCUCGGGCAGAUGGUGAGGGAAGGGAACCUCCGUGUUCAGGACACCUCCGCCCAUCCACAUUCGGCCUGGCACCGAUCCUGCGGAAUCUCUCCCCAACGCACGGUUUCUACACUGGAACGAUUGAAACUAAGGGGGUGCGCCAACUCCCCCACCUUCGCGGGUCCCCUGGCAGGAGACCUGGUCCUUGCCUUACC